AUGGAACUGACAUACAAUACUGAUGAACUUCUGCAGAGAUGGACAAUGCAGGCAUCCUUGAGCAACUUGAACCUCCUCUUGUCAUAUAACCUGGAAGAUUUGGUCAGCUUUUGUAUAAGCAGUGGACGCUCUGCUUUGUAAAUUCCAUCUGGAAUAGGAUCAGCGUAAGGUGCUUUGUCACAUGAGAAGAGCCUAAUGCAAAGUCAAUCUGGCAACUGUGUGGAGGAUGGAUUGGAGAGAGGAGACGUGAGCCAGCAAGACUUAUUAAAAAGUUAUUCCAAAGCCACCAAGAUUGCUGCUUCAAUGGAGGCAAGCAGAUCAACUCCCCUACACAUAAUCCAACAAAAACUUAAAAAUCACACCAGAAACUAGAGCAAAUGACUUCUUCCAUCAUAGAAUUGUACAGAAGCCCACAAGCAAUUGAAGUGAAGAAGAAGCCAGCACCAGAACAGACAAAAAGGCCUACAGAUGGAUGCUCAGAGAUGGAUCAGUAACGCCUGUAGGCUACAGGCUAUCCUGACAAGGCCUUGCACAGGGAUAUUUCACUGCUGGAGGAUGUCUG